GACGAACGCUGGCGGCGUGCCUAAUACAUGCAAGUAGAACGCUGAAGGAGGAGCUUGCUCUUCUGGAUGAGUUGCGAACGGGUGAGUAACGCGUAGGUAACCUGCCUGGUAGCGGGGGAUAACUAUUGGAAACGAUAGCUAAUACCGCAUAACAGUAGAUGUUGCAUGACAUUUGCUUAAAAGGUGCAAUUGCACCACUACCAGAUGGACCUGCGUUGUAUUAGCUAGUUGGUGGGGUAACGGCUCACCAAGGCGACGAUACAUAGCCGACCUGAGAGGGUGAUCGGCCACACUGGGACUGAGACACGGCCCAGACUCCUACGGGAGGCAGCAGUAGGGAAUCUUCGGCAAUGGACGGAAGUCUGACCGAGCAACGCCGCGUGAGUGAAGAAGGUUUUCGGAUCGUAAAGCUCUGUUGUAAGAGAAGAACGAGUGUGAGAGUGGAAAGUUCACACUGUGACGGCAUCUUACCAGAAAGGGACGGCUAACUACGUG
rnacentral:rRNA from 1 species